AGCGUGUUCCCAGAUUGAGAUACUGAUUUAUUUAUUACACAUACAUGGAAACAUACUGUGAAAUGCAUCAUUUGCCUUAACAGCCAACACACCUAAGAAUGUGCUGAAGGCAGCCUGCAUAUGUUGGCACACAUUCGAGCAGCAACAAAGCAUACCCAUAACGUACAGCAGCAACAACAAAACAAAGUACAUUUCCCAUCCCUUCACCCACCCAGCAAGUCUCCAACCCUCAGACAGGCUGCCUCUGGACUUCCCCAGUCAACUGUACCCUUUGAUUCCUUUGGGCGUCUACCUUUGGUUUUCAACCUUCAGUUUUCUACCUCUGGAGUCCAGGCACCCACUGUGUAGAAAACAAUUGCCUCACUUCCCUUCGAAACCUCUUACUUCUCAGCUUAGCUUUCACCCUCUCGUUGUAGAUACCCCCACAAAGAAAGCUGAAAAUUACUGUAUCCUCAAGCCAGAAUUGACUGCCCACUUGUUUCCUGGUUCAGUGUAGGUCAUAUUGGUGGUAGGAGGAAGGAAGGGAUCUGAUUGAUAUACAAGUCAUACUGAGGAGGGAUGGCAUGCUUCACUCCAUGAGGAGUUGAUGAGCAGAUUUGUGUCUUUACUUCAUUUUCUGGGUAAGGGUGUCAGUGAGAAGGCCAACUUGUAUUGCCCAUACUUAAUGAAAGCUCUUGAUGAUCCAUUUCCUUGAACCACAACAGUCCUUAAUGAAGUAACAUACAUCAAAGUUGCUGGUGAACGCAGCAGGCCAAGCAGCAUCUAUAGGAAGAGGCGCAGUCGACGUUUCAGGCCGAGACCCUUCGUCAGGACUAACUGAAGGAAGAGUUUCACGAGAUCUUAAAGGAAAGGCUACAUGACACCAUCCUUCAAGUUGUAUACACUGAAGAGAGUGAAUUGGGAAGAAGAUGAUGACGACGUCAUUGAAGAACCUCGGAUUGACACCAGAUUUCUCUGGGAUCCAGAAUCUAAUAGCUGGUGUGAAAGCUGAUUUCAAGCCACUUCAUUUUUUGUAGUAGGGAUAGUGUAUUCUGUAUAUUUUGAAUAGCAUUACUGUAAUGUUUACCAUUUAUUCUACAAUUUAAAGAAAGUUUUAGAAAGUAAGUUGUAGUUUGUUGAAGAAAUUAAACCUAGAAUUCACAAGGUAUGCAAGCAUGGAGUGUAAAAUUGUUUUCACUUAAUCCAAAAUUUUAUCUACACUUUCAGUUUUAAUAAGUAUCUAGUACAUGCUUUGUGAACAAAUAAAUUUACAUAGUUUGAAAUUACCAUUAGUUAGCAAUAAUAUCACAAGUCAAUGUGAAGUAAAUAAUUUUUCCUAAUGCAAGAAGCCUGACCUGAAAACAUUUCAUAUGUUUAUAACUUCUCCUCAAAGUUCAAAGUAAAAUUUAUUAUCGGCGUACAUA